AGUGAACGCUGGCGGUAGGCCUAACACAUGCAAGUCGAACGGCAGCACAGUAAGAGUUUGCUCUUACGGGUGGCGAGUGGCGGACGGGUGAGGAAUACAUCGGAAUCUACUUUUUCGUGGGGGAUAACGUAGGGAAACUUACGCUAAUACCGCAUACGACCUACGGGUGAAAGCAGGGGAUCUUCGGACCUUUCGCGAUUGAAUGAGCCGAUGUCGGAUUAGCUAGUUGGCGGGGUAAAGGCCCACCAAGGCGACGAUGCGUAGCUGGUCUGAGAGGAUGAUCGGCCACACUGGAACUGAGACACGGUCCAGACUCCUACGGGAGGCAGCAGUGGGGAAUAUUGGACAAUGGGCGCAAGCCUGAUCCAGCCAUACCGCGUGAGUGAAGAAGGCCUUCGGGUUGUAAAGCCCUUUUGUUGGGAAAGAAAAGCAGCAGGUUAAUACCCCGCUGUUCUGACGGUACCCAAAGAAUAAGCACCGGCUAACUUCGUG
rnacentral:rRNA from 1 species